rnacentral:rRNA from 1 species
UACGUAGGGUGCAAGCGUUGUCCGGAAUUAUUGGGCGUAAAGCGCACGUAGGCGGCUUUGCAAGUCCCAUGUGAAAGCCCACGGCUUAACCGUGGAAGUGCAUGGGAAACUGCAGAGCUUGAGUACUUAAGAGGAUCGCGGAAUUCCCGGUGUAGUGGUGAAAUGCGUAGAGAUCGGGAGGAACACCUGUGGCGAAGGCGGCCCCCUGGGCCGGCCCUGACACUGAGACGCGAAGGCGUGGGGAGCGAACGGGA